GAUGAACGCUGGCGGCGUGCUUAACACAUGCAAGUCGAACGGAGUGCUCAUGACGGAGGAUUCGUCCAACGGAUUGAGUUACUUAGUGGCGGACGGGUGAGUAACGCGUGAGGAACCUGCCUCGGAGUGGGGAAUAACAGACCGAAAGGCCUGCUAAUACCGCAUGAUACAGUUGGGUCGCAUGACUCUGACUGUCAAAGAUUUAUCGCUCUGAGAUGGCCUCGCGUCUGAUUAGCUAGUUGGCGGGGUAACGGCCCACCAAACCUACGAUGGAUAGGGGUUCUGAGAGGAAGGUCCCCCACAUUGGAACUGAGACACGGUCCAA
rnacentral:rRNA from 1 species